rnacentral:rRNA from 1 species
UACGAAGGGGGCUAGCGUUGCUCGGAAUCACUGGGCGUAAAGCGCACGUAGGCGGGUCCUUAAGUCAGGGGGGAAAUCCUGGAGCUCAACUCCAGAACUGCCCUUGAUACUGAGGAUCUCGAGUUCGGGAGAGGUGAGUGGAACUGCGAGUGUAGAGGUGAAAUUCGUAGAUAUUCGCAAGAACACCAGUGGCGAAGGCGGCUCACUGGCCCGAUACUGACGCUGAGGUGCGAAAGCGUGGGGAGCAAACAGG